rfam:Medicago truncatula strain A17 chromosome 4, whole genome shotgun sequence.
AAACAGCCCCCUAUGUUUUGAUUCUUUGGCAGUUUUGGACCCCCAAUGCAUUGUAGAUUCAGACAAUUGACGACGUGGCACCUCACUUAGAGGUGCCACGUCAGCGUUGACCGAGUCAACAAUGGACUGGGGGUCCAAAACUGCCAAAGAAUCAAAACAUAGGGGGCUGUUU